rnacentral:rRNA from 1 species
UACGGGGGGUGCGAGCGUUGUCCGGAAUCACUGGGCGUAAAGGGCGCGUAGGUGGCGUCGUAAGUCUGUGGUGAAAGCCCGGAGCUCAACUCCAGAACUGCCUUCGAUACUGGAAGACUUGAGUCCGGGAGAGGUGAGUGGAACUGCGAGUGUAGAGGUGAAAUUCGUAGAUAUUCGCAAGAACACCAGUGGCGAAGGCGGCUCACUGGCCCGGUACUGACGCUGAGGUGCGAAAGCGUGGGGAGCAAACAGG